GAAAGCAUUUCUCCAAGCCCCCUCCCCCACCCAAGAAAGGAUUUCUGUGUUAACAAAGGCUGUGUAUCACCCAUGUCCUCGUCCCUGUUAAACAGCAGGCAACAGCCCUGUCCUUGAAAAGGGAUGGCAGCUUUUGACUGAGCUCUGGCCAGCAACUUCUGUGGCGGGUACAGAGCCAGGCCUGCUGCCCGGGGCAGCCCCGAGUCCAGCCAUGUGUGCUCAGAUUCAUCCUGGGAGUGUCCGGGCUGUCAGUGCUCAGCGGAGCCUGGGUUUGGUGACCGAAGGGGAAGGCGGGGAUUUGUGGCACCAGAGGCCUUGUGUGGCCACGGGGGGCCAGGAGAGACAUUACAGAAGGAGGAAGUGUGUCCUUGGCCCCUGGAAUCCGGAGCAGCCCAGAGGGAGCCACACAGCCAAGCUGUAGUGUGUCUCUCUACCUUGGGGUAGGAAUAGGAAUAGGAUUGACUUCCCAGCCCUGGGCCUCAACCCAGCCAAGAAGGCAUUGUUGACUCCCGUGAGAUCACAGAGGUGGUUGCACAGGCCCCGCCCACUUCUCCUGCAGCUUGGGUUCCCCUCCUGGCCCCCAGGGGACACCCCCCAGCCCCCUCUUCCAGGGAGCUGCUGGUCAAGGGUCAGGGGUCCAUGGGAGCUGAGGGCUGGCAUCUCCCACGCUCCCUCAGCAACCAUCAGGAUAUGAGGGUCACAGGCCUCCCUUUUCCUCCUGUUCCUGCUUGUCCGGAAGGCCCCCACCCCGGCCGCGCUGGUCCCCAGGCCCUGACUAUCUCAAGGAGCCAAUCUGAAAAGAUGCAGGCUGGUGGUCACUGCCCCACAGAGCGGAGGCCGGGUGUGUGGGGGUGAGUGGAGGGGCUGCUGGUUGCCAAGGGCACACAGUCAGGCAUGAGGCCCCGGUGGAAGUGGGCGUACUAAAGGGCCCUGGCUUGGCACUUCCUCACUUCUGCUCUCUGGACUCUGUCUAGACCAGACCAUGAGCCUCCUCAAAUUAGCUGUAGACGUGCGAAGGCCAUUUUUCUGGGGGAGGGGCCGAAGCCUUCAUCUGUCAGGGGGCCUCUGUUCUAAAACUCUCCAACCCAGCCCUGCCUGGUUCAAAGCCUCCGCUAGGCUCGCACCAGCUCGGACCGGGCCUUGGGUUGGUGGCAGGCGCCUUCGGCUGGCCCUCUACUCUCCCUCCCUCUCUCUGGCCCUGCCCAGCCCCUGCCCAUCUGUGAACCUCCCAGGAGCCUCAGCACCCCCUGAGCCCCCUGGGAGGCCCCGGGAGGAACAGCCGGCCGUGAGAACUCCCAGAAGCCCUUCUGAGGGAGACCUCUCCAGAGACCCCCAGGAAGAGAUCCCGGCAAACCCAGGUGCAGGAGCCCCUCAUGGAGCCCCCCAUGGAGCCCCCAGGCAAGCAGCCCCCGCAAGAGAGCCCACCCGAGGACCCAGCCCCUAAGACCGCCCCCAGCGCACACAUUCUCUACGUGGACCACCUGAACCCCCAGUUCUCGGUGCCCGUGCUCGCCUGCCUGCUUCGGGACACGCUGGAGCGGCUGGAGCUGCCGGUGGCACGCGAGCACAUCGAGGUGGUGAGGCGCCCACGGAAGGCCUACGCGCUGGUGCAGGUGACCGCCCAUGAGGCCACUCUGGCCGCCCUCCCCUGGCGCCUGCAAGCGGCCCUGGAGGAGCACCAGAUCCCCAAGGAGCUGGUGGCCCGCGGGAAGGAGCUGGUGCUGGGUGAGGGCCCAGGGCCCUCGAGCGGCAAGGAAGAGGAGGACAGCGGCCCAAGUCCCCGCUCCUACCCCAGCCCCGCCCACAGCACGCCAGCGCGGGCCCGGCAGGGGUCCCGGGGCCAGCCCCGCGGCACGCGCUCCGACAGCGCCAUCGUGCGCCAGGAGAUCGAGGGUCAGGAGCGCCUCUUCCAGGGCGCCUUCCUGGGCAAUGAGACGCGCAGCGUGGAGUUCAAGCGCGGGGGCGGCGAGUACCUGAGCCUGGCCUUCAAGCACCACCUGCGGCGCUACGUGUGCGCUUUCCUCAACAGCGAGGGCGGCAGCCUGUUCGUGGGCGUCGAGGACAGCGGCCUGGUGCAGGGCGUCCGCUGCGGCCACCGCGACGAGGACCGCGUGCGCCUGCUAGUGGACUCCAUCCUGCAGGGCUUCCAGCCCCAGGUCUUCCCCGACGCCUACACGCUCUCCUUCAUCCCGGUGGUCAGCGCCUCGGCCGGCAGCACGCCCCUCAAGGUGAUCCGCCUGAGCGUGCACGCCCCCAAGGCCCAGGCGGAGCCGCAGCUCUAUGAGACGGACCAGGGGGAGGUGUUCCUGCGGCGGGACGGGAGCAUCCAGGGCCCGCUGUCCGGCCACGCCAUCCAGGAGUGGUGCAGGCAGAAGUGGGCGGCCGAGCUGAGCAAGCUGGAGCAGAGACUGAAGGCGCUGACGGCGGAGAAGGAGCAGCUCCAGCAGCAGCUGCAGCAGCGCGCGCCCGUCUCCUGCACCUGCUGCGUCCUGUGAGCACCCGUUCUUUGUCUAGGAGACAGUGAAAUGGACAGUGAAAUGGACAUCAUCACCCCGACACCAUGUCUCCCCAGCACCCACCAGCACCUGCACAGGGUGUGACCUCCAGCCCAAGCACCCUGCAGCCACUGGGAGCGCUGCUGUCGCCGUCCUCAGUGCCCUCAGUUUGGGGAAUGGCUCAUACAGAAACGAUUCAGACUGUGUGACCAGCCGGGAACAGUGGUUAGAACCCACCCCAUUAGCCGCAUUCCAGGUAGCAAGAUAGGCAUGAAGAGGCCUGCAAGGGACCCAUUUUACUUUGGUCCACGAGAAGCGGAGACAAAGGGGGCUCACUUGUUCUUGCUGGGUCAGGGCGGGCACCCCAGCUUCUGGGCCCCAGUGCGGAUGGCGGCCUUGAGCCACGAGCACAGGCACACAGGGAAGCCUGCUUCUUCUCCGGAUCCCCCUGACAAGGAAGCUGGGCUAAAUGCUGAGAAAGAAACAUUUUUCUCCCCUCCCUGGUUUCUCAAAUGUCCAUGAGGAAAGGCAGUUGACCAUGGACAGACAACCCAGCCUGAGCCUCCACCUUGGACUGAACGGAGCUGGCUCACGAGGAGGCGAGCUUGGCAGCUGGAGGGUGGGUGGGUGGGUGUCCACGGCAGCAAUGGGCCCCUCACUCUGGGGAGAAAGCCCUCGGGACGCUGCCGUGGACCCCUCGACACACAAGGCCGGGGGAUGGGAGGACCAGCGGUGGAGAAAGUGGUCCUGCUGGCUGACAGCGGUUGGUCUGCCACUCCUGGGUCACAUGUAUGAGGGGCCACAUCCAUGGCCAGCAGAGGGAGGGACCCCCGUGAAUAACACGUGCCGCCCCCCCACCUCCCAAAACCAAGCAGCCCCCAUGCUUCUUUGCAUCUGUAUAUGUUGGGAAUCUGAAUUUGAAGCCUCCAGGGGGAAAUUCUGGUUUCCCACAAAAAAGAAAGGCUCCUCUCAGGUCCUGUGCAGACGAUCAGCUCAUGCACUUAAGGCCGUCCCACCAAGGACAGCCGGGUGCUGACCACUGAGGUGACGCAGGCAC